rnacentral:rRNA from 1 species
GACGAACGCUGGCGGCGUGCCUAAUACAUGCAAGUCGAACGCUUUUUCUUUCACCGGAGCUUGCUCCACCGAAAGAAAAAGAGUGGCGAACGGGAGAGUAACACGUGGGUAACCUGCCCAUCAGAAGGGGAUAACACUUGGAAACAGGUGCUAAUACCGUAUAACACUAUUUUCCGCAUGGAAGAAAGUUGAAAGGCGCUUUUGCGUCACUGAUGGAUGGACCCGCGGUGCAUUAGCUAGUUGGUGAGGUAACGGCUCACCAAGGCAACGAUGCAUAGCCGACCUGAGAGGGUGAUCGGCCACAUUGGGACUGAGACACGGCCCAGACUCCUACGGGAGGUAGCAGUAGGGAAUCUUCGGCAAUGGACGAAAGUCUGACCGAGCAACGCCGCGUGAGUGAAGAAGGUUUUCGGAUCGUAAAACUCUGUUGUUAGAGAAGAACAAGGAUGAGAGUAAAACGUUCAUCCCUUGACGGUAUCUAACCAGAAAGCCACGGCUAACUACGUGCCAGCAGCCGCCGUAA